AUGCUGAUUCUAAGCCUGUUGGGAGCAGCCUUUGGCUCCAUUUGUUUUGCAACCAGCAUGGCCCAGAAGGUAACACAGACUCAGACUUCAAUUUCUGUGGUGGAGAAGACAACGGUGACAAUGGACUGUGUGUAUGAAACCCGGGACAGUUCUUACUUCUUAUUCUGGUACAAGCAAACAGCAAGUGGGGAAAUAGUUUUCCUUAUUCGUCAGGACUCUUACAAAAAGGAAAAUGCAACAGUGGGUCAUUAUUCUCUGAACUUUCAGAAGCCAAAAAGUUCCAUCGGACUCAUCAUCACCGCCACACAGAUUGAGGACUCAGCAGUAUAUUUCUGUGCUAUGAGAGAGGG